GUCGGAAGUAAUUAUAUGUUUCCACAACACAUUAUUAAUUAAUGUUGACUACCAACCAAAUCUUACUCAUUCUACCUAUUUAUACAGACACAAACCGUUUGUCACUCCUCAGCUUCUCUCUCAGCAAUGAAGCAAAGUUGUGGUGCACUUGUGAGUUGGCUAUUUUUAAUGUUAAUCAUUUUUCAAGCAUCUGCUCGUCUCCUACCUAAACAUCAAGGUACCCCAUGAGUUCUUUAUCUUAAACAAUAUACCAUCACUAUUUUUAUUUUUUUAAAUUUGUGGGUUUAAUUUCUAUACAAAACAAGCAUGUUUAAAAUUAAUUUCUCGGAGUCUCUUUAUCCCGUAGUUGUUGUAUGAUCGAACGUUUACCAACUCGCCUAAAAAUCAUCUAGUCAAGAAAUACUAAGUCUCCCUUUGGCUAAUUAAUAAGUGGUCCAAACUUCAUUUUCAAAUAUAUAUUUCAAUAAAUCUACAAGUAUUAUCCAAUUAUCCACCAUUUAUUUUUAUGUAUUUGUGAAUAAAAUCGUUUUUCAAUUCUUCUGAAUGGAGGCUAAAUAUUUUAUGACAUUCAGCCACCAUCAUUUUAGUUAUCCGACAGCUUAAAAGCAACAUGAUUGCUCUCAACAGUAAUGAAAUUAAUUUUUUUUCUACUUUUCACAGGAGAUCAUCCAAAUAGUAGGGCUAAUGGAAUUGCUAAAGAAGAUGAAGUAAUUCCCAGUGUAAGAACGUUUAGCUUCCACUUAAUCGUUAAUUUUUUAUAAUUUUUUUAAUUUUUUGUUUGAAAUUUCCUGUGUAAUUUCGUCUAUACAGUUGAUGGGAUUGGAGGAAUGUGAUGAGAAAGACGUGGCAUGUCAAAAUAGAAGGAUGAUUGCAGAUGCUCACUUGGACUACAUAUAUACCCAACAGCAUAAGCCUUAAGACAUGUUUGGCUUGAGUUGGUUUGGUUGUGCUUAAGAGUUACUUUUUUCUGAUCGUGCAUUACUGUUAAGUAUAGACGAACAUUGAGCACAACCAAACAUUCAAACGUCUUAGUAAUGGUCUUAUAUGUGAAUUAUCGUAUUUCAAUUUUCUUGUCCUUGUUUAACUGUGGUCAAGAGUGCUGUGUUCUUAGUGAAUUGCAUGAUAAGGUAAAUUGUACGGUGUAGAAUCUAUAUAUUAAUAUUAUAAUAGAAAAGGUAAUUAAAAUUACUUUUACUUUACUUCCGUAUUGAUUAACAUUUUGUAUCAAAC
rnacentral:lncRNA from 1 species